GCCUGGGUAGCUCAGUCGGUAAAACAUCUGACUUUGGCUCAGGUCAUGAUGUCACAGGUCAUGGGUUCAAGCCCCAUGUCGGGCU
rnacentral:tRNA from 1 species